GACGAACGCUGGCGGCGUGCUUAACACAUGCAAGUCGAACGGAAAGGCCUGCUUUCCCUUGUGGAUUGCGGGUACUCGAGUGGCGAACGGGUGAGUAACACGUGAGUGAUCUGCCCAACUUGGGUAUAAGCCUGGGAAACUGGGUCUAAUUCCCGAUAGGACUGCAGGGUGGUGCCUGUGGUGGAAAACGAUUUUCUAGUGGUUGGGGAUGAGCUCGCGGCCUAUCAGCUUGUUGGUGGGGUAAUGGCCUACCAAGGCGGCGACGGGUAGCCGGCCUGAGAGGGUGGACGGCCACAUUGGGACUGAGAUACGGCCCAGACUCCUACGGGAGGCAGCAGUGGGGAAUAUUGCACAAUGGGCGGAAGCCUGAUGCAGCGACGCCGCGUGGGGGAUGACGGCCUUCGGGUUGUAAACUCCUUUCGACCGCGAGGAAGCCACCUGGUUGGAAGGGUGGUGACGGUAGUGGUAGAAGAAGCACCGGCUAACUACGUG
rnacentral:rRNA from 1 species